rnacentral:rRNA from 1 species
CCUACGGGAGGCAGCAGUGAGGAAUAUUGGUCAAUGGCCGCAGGGCUGAACCAGCCAAGUCGCGUGAGGGAUGACGGUCCUAUGGAUUGUAAACCUCUUUUGUCAGGGAGUAAAUGGCGCCACGUGUGGCGUUUUGCGAGUACCUGAUGAAAAAGCAUCGGCUAACUCCGUGCCAGCAGCCGCGGUAAUACGGAGGAUGCGAGCGUUAUCCGGAUUUAUUGGGUUUAAAGGGUGCGCAGUGGGAAUGUCAAGUCAGUGGUAAAAUUUCGGGGCUCAACCUCGUAGUGCAGUUGAAACUGGCGUUCUUGAGUGAGCGAGAGGUAGGCGGAAUGCGGGGUGUAGCGGUGAAAUGCAUAGAUAUCACGCAGAACUCCGAUUGCGAAGGCAGCAUAC